CUGGGAAAGACCAGAGAUCCUGCUGUCUCCUCAGCAUCAUUCCAGGCACAGAACGCCAGAAAAUGGAAUGGUGCUGUUGAAUCAACAGGUUCU
rfam:Dengue virus type 2 strain ThNH63/93, complete genome.